rnacentral:rRNA from 1 species
GACGAACGCUGGCGGCGUGCCUAAUACAUGCAAGUUGAGCGCUGAAGGUUGGUACUUGUGCCAACUGGAUGAGCAGCGAACGGGUGAGUAACGCGUGGGGAAUCUGCCUUUGAGCGGGGGACAACAUUUGGAAACGAAUGCUAAUACCGCAUAAAAACUUUAAACACAAGUUUUAAGUUUGAAAGAUGCAAUUGCAUCACUCAAAGAUGAUCCCGCGUUGUAUUAGCUAGUUGGUGAGGUAAAGGCUCACCAAGGCGAUGAUACAUAGCCGACCUGAGAGGGUGAUCGGCCACAUUGGGACUGAGACACGGCCCAAACUCCUACGGGAGGCAGCAGUAGGGAAUCUUCGGCAAUGGACGAAAGUCUGACCGAGCAACGCCGCGGGAGUGAAGAAGGGUUUCGGAUCGUAAAACUCUGUUGGUAGAGAAGAACGUUGGUGAGAGUGGAAAGCUCAUCAAGUGACGGUAACUACCCAGAAAGGGACGGCUAACUACGUG